rfam:Triticum aestivum genome assembly, contig: Triticum_aestivum_CS42_TGACv1_scaffold_499694_6BL
AUGGACAUGAGGAUCCUUUCCCCAAAUUAUUGACUGUGAUUAUACUGUGCGAAACUGCAAUCCUUUAUCACAGGAUUCCAAGCUAGAAGUCUAU